UUGAAAUCGGUGAUUUAAUCAACAUAAAACUCAAAUCAACUGAUGUAGAGUGUACAUCCAGCACGUUUUCCUUGUCUCAGGUUGUCCUGCAAACACAAAUCGUUCGCUUUUCAUAACAGGAUCUCAGCAGAGCCAGUAGCUGAAAUCAAAACCGUCGACGGCGACGGGGGCGGUAAAUCCUACAGGGAAGGGCGGGAGCCAGGAACAGCAGGAAAUGAGACGCUGGCCGCCGCGUCGCGACGGCCGAUCAGCCCCACUUAUCUCUUACCAGAAUUCAGGAUUGCUGCGAGGCGCUAUGCUGCUGCAGCCGCUUUCAAUUUAUUUUAAUAAAUCUGCCGUUUGGGAAUACAUCAACCCAAUCGACCACUCCGGAGGGUAAGGGGAGGACGGAGAUGAUAAUGGUCUUGGUGUGUGGGAUUGGACAACGAGAACGACGGUUUGGAGGGUGGUCUGUAAUUAAUUUAAAUUAAAACUUAUGAAUUGUUGUAACUUUUAUUGUAUGGAUUUUUAUAAGGUAAAUAGGUUAAUAGUAAAACAUAUCUUAAAAACAGUAAUUUUUACUUUUUAGUAUUAAAAAUAACUUUCUCGCAUCCCCACAACCAUACAGAUUUCAAAUAUAAAAAAAAUAUCUGGAUAAAAAACACAAUCACCAAAUUUUUGUAUUAUAUUUGAUUUUAAAAAGGUUAAAUAAAGGAAUUCGGCAAAUUUAUUUUCCACCUGUUUAUUAAAAACAUGUCCUUUUGAUUUUAAUUUAAGGUCUGACCUGCCCAAUGAAGAUUUUUAAUGGCCGCGGUAAUUUGACCGUGCAAAGGUAGCAUAAUCAUUAGUUUUUUAAAUGAAAGCUGGAAUGAAGGGUUGAAUGAGAAAAUUACUGUCUCUGUUUAAUUUUAUUAGAAUUUUAUUUUUAAGUUAAAAAGCUUAAAUUUUAUUAAAAGACGAGAAGACCCUAUAGAGUUUUAUAAUAUUUUUAUUUAGUAUUGAUUUAGUAUUUAAAAAAAAUUAAAUUUUAAAUUAUUUAGUUGGGGAGAUUGAGAAAUUAAAUUAACUUUCUAUUUUUUUUUACAUAAAUAAAUGAAGUUUUGAUCCUUUAUUUAAGAUUAAAAGAUUAAAUUACCUUAGGGAUAACAGCGUAAUUUUUUUUUAGAGUUCAAAUUAAAAAAAAAGAUUGCGACCUCGAUGUUGGAUUAAAAUUUAUUUUUGGUGUAGAAGCUAAAAAAUUAGGUCUGUUCGACCUUUAAAAUUUUACAUGAUCUGAGUUUAAACCGGUGUGAGCCAGGUUGGUUUCUAUCUUUAGUAAAAAGGUAUAUUUUAGUACGAAAGGACCAAAUAUAUAAUUGAUAAUUUUAUAUUUAGAAUAUUAUU
rnacentral:rRNA from 1 species